rnacentral:tRNA from 1 species
GGAGGGGACAGCUUAGUGGUAGAGUGUGUGCUUGGCGUGCAUAAGGUCCUAGGUUCAAUCCCCAGUCCCUCCA